GGGUGAUCUGGCUGCGACAUCUGUCACCCCACUGAUCGCCAGGGCUGAUUCAGCUGAUCUGGCUGCCUGAUCCACGUGCACCCCUCCCGAAGCUGUGCACUUGCUCAAAGGGGACGACCUUCCCCUCAGAGGAGAGGACCGGUCUCUGGUCCAAGGGUAUAUGAGUAGCUGUGCUCCCUGCUAGGAUCUCCCAACAAGCUCUCAUAUUCUACACCUGACGCAGCAAACAGUUCUGCUGGCUCCGAGAACUUCCUGCAACCUGCA
rnacentral:snRNA from 1 species